rnacentral:misc_RNA from 1 species
GUGAAUCAUCGAAUCUUUGAACGCAAAUUGCACUCUCUGCGGAUAGUAUGCCUGUUUGAGUGUCAGCCUAAAAAAAAAUCUACAUAGUCUCCGUUUCGCGGUUACAUUCGGCUGUAAUUGUGUCAUCUUAAAUCUAUGGGUUUUAAACGUCUUAAAAUUUUCUUUACUAUUCCACGAACGUUUCUUAAAUUUACUUCUUUUACGUUUAUGGUAUCGAUCUUUAGUACACGUUUCCAUUUCAUCGGAGA